AUGGGCGCCCAUACACUGUGCAUGGACACCAACCCAGUCGACACCAGUAACCCAAGCAGCCGCGCGCCUGCAGCCAUGGCCACUUCGCCGUCGAGCAGCUUGCUGCGCGUGCUCCUCCUCGCCGCCGCCGUCGCGGUGGUGGCCGCGAGGCACCACCACCCCGGGUUCGAGAAGAUCUUCGAGGUGCAGGAGGCGGACCGGGUGGAGAUGCUGCCGGGGCAGACGGAGCAGGUGGGCUUCCGGCACUACUCCGGCUACGUCACGGUGAACGAGACCCACGGCCGCGCCCUCUUCUACUGGCUCUUCGAGGCCACCCACGACGUCGCCAAGAAGCCCCUCGUCCUCUGGCUCAACGGAGGGCCUGGAUGCUCGUCCGUGGGGUAUGGAGCUAUGAUGGAGCUUGGCCCCUUCUUGAUCCAGAAGGGAAAGCCCGAGAUUGCCUUGAAUCCCCACUCAUGGAACAAAGAGGCAAACAUGCUGUUCUUGGAGUCCCCUGCCGGCGUGGGCUUCUCCUACACCAACACCACCGCCGAUCUCGGCCAUUUUGGCGACAACCUCACUGCCCAUGACGCAUACUCUUUCCUCGUGAACUGGCUGGACAAGUUCCCUCAGUUCAAGGGCCACGACCUGUACAUCGCCGGCGAGAGCUACGCCGGGCACUACGUCCCCCAGCUCGCCGAGAAGAUCGUCCACAUGAACAAGAAGGCGUCGCGGGCUCACAAGGUCAACCUCAAGGGGAUCCUGAUCGGCAACGCCGCCAUCGACGCCAGCUCCGACGACCGCGGCCUGGUCGACUACGCCUGGGACCACGCGGUGGUCUCGGAUGGGAUCUACACCGCCGUCAAGAACAACUGCAAGUUCCCCGACGACGGCAUGGAGAGCGACGCCUGCGACAACGCAUGGAACGACUUCUUCAACGCCAUGAACGACAUCGACCUUUACAGCCUCUACACCCCCGCCUGCACCAAAUCCAUGGUCAACUCCACCAACUCCUCCCCCCGCCGCCGCUCCAAGCUCGCCGGCACCGGCACGCCGCUGGGGAAGCUGCACCGCGGCGGCAGGCCCUACUACAACGCCUACGACCCCUGCGGGGACUACCACAUCCUCGACUACCUGAACCGCGCCGACGUGCAGAAGGCGCUGCACGCCAACGUCUCCGGCGCAAUCCCGUACCGCUGGGAGCCGUGCAGCGACGCGCUGACCAACUGGACGGACGCGCCGGCGUCGACCCUGCCGGCCAUCGGCAAGCUGGUGAAGGACGGUAUCCGGGUGUGGGUCUUCAGCGGCGACACCGACGACCGCGUGCCGGUGACCUCGACGCGGCUCGCGCUGAAGAAGCUCGGGCUCGCGACGAAGAAGGGGUGGAGGGAGUGGUUCACCAGCGACCAGGUGGGCGGGUACACGGUGGUCUACGACGGGCUCACCUUCGUCACCGUGCGCGGCGCCGGACACAUGGUGCCCAUGAUCACGCCGGUGCAGGCCAGGCAGGUCUUCGCGCACUUCCUCACCGGCGAGGAGCUCUCCGCCAAGGCCAUCGUCGCUUAG
rnacentral:rRNA from 1 species